CAACAUUCAGGCCCACCUUCUUUUGAAAAUCAACAACUUUUGGCAGUAAAUUCUCCUUCACAGCAAACUCUUCCCUACAAUUAAAUCUCUUCAACCAUCUAGGUGCCUUUAGUAAUCAGAGGCAAAGCUUGUUUCUUUGGAGAAGAUGAGUGACCCCAAAUAUGCCUAUCCUUAUCCUGCUCAAGGUUAUUAUCAAGGGCCUCCAGUGAUGGCUCCUCCUCAAUAUGCUGCUCCACCACCCAGGAGGGAGCCAGGUUUUCUUGAGGGAUGUCUGGCUGCUUUGUGUUGCUGCUGCCUUAUUGAUGAGUGUUGCUGCGAUCCCUCUAUCAUCUUUUACAGUUGAUGAUAAUCAUGUAAUUUCACUUGUGUUUAUGAUUAUGCUAUGUAAUGCCAUUAUCAUAUGGUUUAAUGCCUAAAUUAAGUUGUUGUUUUGGGUUCUUUUU